UACGGGGGGGGGCAAGCGUUGUUCGGAAUUACUGGGCGUAAAGGGCUCGUAGGUGGCCAAUUAAGUCAGACGUGAAAUCCCCAGGCUUAACCUGGGAACUGCGUCUGAUACUGGUUGGCUUGAAUUCGGGAGAGGGAUGCAGAAUUCCAGGUGUAGCGGUGAAAUGCGUAGAUAUCUGGAGGAAUACCGGUGGCGAAGGCGGCAUCCUGGACCGAGAUUGACACUGAUGAGCGAAAGCCAGGGGAGCAAACGGG
rnacentral:rRNA from 1 species